GCAUUGGCUCCCGCACUAUCACGGCGGAAGCAGUUCCUGUAAAGAAAGAUGGAGAUCAGGCCUCCAGCAUUGUGGAUGAUCCACCCAUCCCUCCUACAGUCUAUUUGCCCCUCUGCCAUUCAGCAGAAAGUUUUGCAGAAUUUGCUAAAGGAUUGCCAAACUGGGUAACAGCAUCUAACCCCAAGCUGUCAGACUCCUGAAUACCCUGCUGCCCCCCACCACACACAUCACCCUGGGCUCUACUCCCAGCUAAUACCCUUCCCACCACUGCACGGACACUUGUCCACUUUAUAUUGCUCCUUAUAUGUCACCUUAGUAGUUUUGUUCGAGCAAGAAUCACUGUCUACGACUUACAGUUUACAACACACCGACACUUUGAUAGCACUUGUUCACAAUCACGGUACUGCACUGCCACUUUAAACUUCACUUCAUUUCAGGUUGCAGCUAUAGACCAGUGUUUAGUGUAAAGUCGGUGUAGUGAAGAAAUUGUCUUUUUUUGCCACUAUGCUUACUAAGCCCACUGUUUCCCAUCAACCCCUCCCUUCAUGUGUUUCUAUUCUUAUGUCCUGUCAG